UACACCAGCAGAGACCUCCCUGCCCUGCGGCCACCAGGAAUCCAUGCAGCGUGCAUGCCCCACCAUAGCUCCACCGCCACCAGGAAUUCAGGUGCUGCUGAAGCUGCAUCAAGAAAGCCCCAGCCCAGUCGCCUCCCCUAGAUGAAUGAGAGUGAGCUCUUUUCUAAUUGUGAAGGACAUGGCAGAUUGUAGCUGUGAAGACACUGUCAGGUCACUCUGUGGAAGUUUGAGGUGAGCCCUUCCAGGGUCACCUGGCCAUGGAGGACCCAGGCUCAGCCCAUCUUUCUUCACCAUCUGGGGGGGUUGGUGAUGGAGCCACAACAGCAGCGAGCAUCACAUUGUCUCAAAAUGUCAUCCGCGUGAGGGAAGGAGGGACGGCUCCUCCUUGGGUGCCUCCCUCUCCUUGGGAGGAAAACCCUUCUCAGAAGCCCCCAGAAUGUGUCUGCUGAGGUCCUGUGGUCCAGAGCUUGUUCCAGGACAAUGUGUACACUUCCGCUGGCAGGGGACAUGGGUGUCAUGACUGGCUGCCUGCCCACAGGUGAGCCCGUGGUAUCAUGGAUGCCCCAGAAGACACGAGACUCGUGGGUCUGAGACAAAGGGCCCUGUUUCUCAGCAUGAGCUUCAGCUGUGGCUCCUCUUGCCUACAAUCCCGUGGGGGCGACGGGAGUGCCUGGCGAUGCAGCACACACAGCUGGCAGGAGCCCACCCUCCCUCUGCCAUUACCCAGGAGGCCGCAGUGUGACAUCAAAAAUACUCUGCAACUUGGCCCAGGUUCACAUUCUGCAAAAGCUGUGAGCUUGCAAAUUGCCUUUGAUCCUAUAAGAGCCAUCAUGGUGAUCAAUUUCUUUCUACACAACGCCAGCACAUAUUUAACCCCCCACACGGAGCAACGUCCAGUUUAACCCGCACAGCAGCAACCCAGCCUCCAGCUCUGUCUCACCAAGCACGUGUCAACAAUUCUCUUCCUAGGUGAUUCCAGCAGCACAGCCUGGCAGCUCCUGAGCCCUUGGGAAGUUCUGCAGCUCGGCUUACCCAGGGCUGCCCUGGCCAAAGCCCCAGCCACUCUCCUUUACUGCAGAGAGCGGGACCGUGUCCCCCUUCAUCCCCCUAGAACGGUAGGGCUGGGAGCUGCGUCAGACCUGCCUCCACGUGCCUGUGGGAAGAGACGUCGGAGUCUGAUCGCAGACACAAGAAGAUCAGUCACCCAAAAAGAUAAAAUAUACUCGAACUUCCGACCCUUCAUCUUCCUUUCAGAACACACUCACAUUUUCUAUAGGAAAACAGCCUCAUAAUAAUAAAAACUCAAUUUAGCGAAA